GAGUUUUNNAUCCUGGCUCAGGACGAACGCUGGCGGCGUGCCUAAUACAUGCAAGUCGAGCGGACAGAUGGGAGCUUGCUCCCUGAUGUUAGCGGCGGACGGGUGAGUAACACGUGGGUAACCUGCCUGUAAGACUGGGAUAACUCCGGGAAACCGGGGCUAAUACCGGAUGGUUGUUUGAACCGCAUGGUUCAAACAUAAAAGGUGGCUUCGGCUACCACUUACAGAUGGACCCGCGGCGCAUUAGCUAGUUGGUGAGGUAACGGCUCACCAAGGCAACGAUGCGUAGCCGACCUGAGAGGGUGAUCGGCCACACUGGGACUGAGACACGGCCCAGACUCCUACGGGAGGCAGCAGUAGGGAAUCUUCCGCAAUGGACGAAAGUCUGACGGAGCAACGCCGCGUGAGUGAUGAAGGUUUUCGGAUCGUAAAGCUCUGUUGUUAGGGAAGAACAAGUACCGUUCGAAUAGGGCGGUACCUUGACGGUACCUAACCAGAAAGCCACGGCUAACUACGUGCCAGCAGCCGCGGUAAUACGUAGGUGGCAAGCGUUGUCCGGAAUUAUUGGGCGUAAAGGGCUCGCAGGCGGUUUCUUAAGUCUGAUGUGAAAGCCCCCGGCUCAACCGGGGAGGGUCAUUGGAAACUGGGGAACUUGAGUGCAGAAGAGGAGAGUGGAAUUCCACGUGUAGCGGUGAAAUGCGUAGAGAUGUGGAGGAACACCAGUGGCGAAGGCGACUNUNUGGUCUGUAAC
rnacentral:rRNA from 2 species